rnacentral:rRNA from 1 species
CAGUAGCCGCGGUAAUACGAAGGGUGCAAGCGUUAAUCGGAUUUACUGGGCGUAAAGGGCGCGUAGGUGGUUAUUUAAGUGAGAUGUGAAAGCCCCGGGCUUAACCUGGGAACUGCAUCUUAUACUGGGUAACUGGAGUGCAGUAGAGGGUAGUGGAAUUUCCGGUGUAGCGGUGAAAUGCGUAGAUAUCGGAAGGAACACCAGUGGCGAAGGCGGCCAUCUGGGACAACACUGAUGCUGAGGCACGAAAGCGUGGGGAGCAAACAGGAUUAGAUACCCCGGUAGUCCUGUCUCUUAUACA